rnacentral:rRNA from 1 species
UACAGAGGGUGCGAGCGUUGUCCGGAAUCACUGGGCGUAAAGGGCGCGUAGGUGGCCCGACAAGUCCGUGGUGAAAGCUCGACGCUCAACGUCGAGUCGGCCAUGGAUACUGUUGGGCUGGAGCACUGUAGAGGCUCAUGGAAUUCCGGGUGUAGCGGUGGAAUGCGUAGAGAAUCCGGAAGAACACCGGUGGCGAAGGCGGUGAGCUGGGCAGUUGCUGACACUGAGGCGCGACGAGCGUGGGGAGCAAACAGG